rnacentral:rRNA from 2 species
AACGACUCUCGACAACGGAUAUCUCGGCUCUCGCAUCGAUGAAGAACGUAGCGAAAUGCGAUACUUGGUGUGAAUUGCAGAAUCCCGUGAACCAUCGAGUCUUUGAACGCAAGUUGCGCCCGAAGCCAAUUAGGCUGAGGGCACGUCUGCCUGGGUGUCACAC